AUGCCUUGAUGGCAUUUCGGUUGAUGGAACACAUCCUGACUUGAUGUCUUCUCAUUUUUAAUCAGCUCAAAGACUUCAAGGAGGCAGGUUUCACGAGAUAUUGAUCAAAAGAAAUCUUACGACUGUUGGUGAACUACAACAUACAUGUGCUGAUAAACAUGGAACAGUCUGUCGUCUCCCUGGUCAAAGUGCUGGAUCUAUGCAGUAGGGAUGUGAGCCAAUACAAGUACUUUAUUAGGCAUCCAGAAAUUUUACCAGCUCCAAUUGUCUUCCGUGCGAUGAAGAUUUUGGACCUCCACUGAGAUGAGGCAGACUAUGUGAGGAUCCUGAGGCAUCUAGAGAUCUUCCAGCUCCGUUAGACUGAGAUACCAAAGAGGAGAUGCCAACUGCAUGUCAUCUUUUGCAUCAAUGCAACAUUUGUCAGACUGUAUAUUUAUAAUCACACCCUCCAGUGUUACCCACAUGAGGAUGGGUUCCCCUUUGAGUCUGGUUCCUCUCAAGUUUUCUUACUUCAGUUCAAGGGGGUUUUCCUUGCCA